UAGGGAAUCUUCGGCAAUGGACGAAAGUCUGACCGAGCAACGCCGCGUGAGUGAAGAAGGUUUUCGGAUCGUAAAACUCUGUUGUUAGAGAAGAACAAGGACGUUAGUAACUGAACGUCCCCUGACGGUAUCUAACCAGAAAGCCACGGCUAACUACGUGCCAGCAGCCGCGGUAAUACGUAGGUGGCAAGCGUUGUCCGGAUUUAUUGGGCGUAAAGCGAGCGCAGGCGGUUUCUUAAGUCUGAUGUGAAAGCCCCCGGCUCAACCGGGGAGGGUCAUUGGAAACUGGGAGACUUGAGUGCAGAAGAGGAGAGUGGAAUUCCGUGUGUAGCGGUGAAAUGCGUAGAUAUAUGGAGGAACACCAGUGGCGAAGGCGGCUCUCUGGUCUGUAACUGACGCUGAGGCUCGAAAGCGUGGGGAGCAAACAGG
rnacentral:rRNA from 1 species